UCUCGGCAAUGCUUUAACAAAGAAAUUGUUGCAGCCACCUCCCCUGCUGGUGAUGACCAUAUGCAGCCAAUGCUGAUGUGAACCCGAGUGAUGAACAAAUGCAGAUCUGCAAAGGAGCUGUCCUGAGGCACCAUGCUUACUCAAGUCAUGCAGCGAGAGUCAGCAUGCCUGGAAAAGUACAUCAAAGCACACCCCAUCUGGCUGACUGCACUACCUCAAGGAAACUGCCUUUCUCCCAUCUGCAAGUUCCUAAGAAGUUACUAAUGAAGCAAGCCAGCAGGGCGUACGUGUUAGGCAUGGCAGCAUGGAGAACAAAUAAACAUGAGUAUUUGGUGCAA
rnacentral:lncRNA from 1 species